rnacentral:rRNA from 1 species
GAGUUUGAUCGUGGCUCAGAGUGAACGCUGGCGGUAGGCCUAACACAUGCAAGUCGAACGGCAGCACAGUAAGAGCUUGCUCUUAUGGGUGGCGAGUGGCGGACGGGUGAGGAAUACAUCGGAAUCUACUUUUUCGUGGGGGAUAACGUAGGGAAACUUACGCUAAUACCGCAUACGACCUACGGGUGAAAGCAGGGGAUCUUCGGACCUUGCGCGAUUGAAUGAGCCGAUGUCGGAUUAGCUAGUUGGCGGGGUAAAGGCCCACCAAGGCGACGAUCCGUAGCUGGUCUGAGAGGAUGAUCAGCCACACUGGAACUGAGACACGGUCCAGACUCCUACGGGAGGCAGCAGUGGGAAUAUUGGACAAUGGGCGCAAGCCUGAUCCAGCCAUACCGCGUGGGUG